rnacentral:rRNA from 1 species
AGAUUGAACGCUAGCGGGAUGCUUUACACAUGCAAGUCGAACGGCAGCGCGGACUUCGGUCUGGCGGCGAGUGGCGAACGGGUGAGUAAUAUAUCGGAACGUGCCCAGUAGCGGGGGAUAACUACGCGAAAGCGUGGCUAAUACCGCAUACGCCCUACGGGGGAAAGGGGGGGAUUCUUCGGAACCUCUCACUAUUGGAGCGGCCGAUAUCAGAUUAGCUAGUUGGUGAGGUAAUGGCUCACCAAGGCGACGAUCCGUAACUGGUCUGAGAGGAUGAUCAGUCACACUGGAACUGAGACACGGUCCAGACUCCGUACGGGAGCAGCAGGUGGGGAAUAGUUGGACAAGUGGGGACGAAAGUCC